GGACAGGCAACGCUGGGACCGGGAAGCGGGCGGAGGAGAGCGGUUCAUUUUUUCCAUAGGCAUGCUGUGUGUGCCAGCUGAGAAUUUCAAACAAAGGCUGAACCCUAGGAAAACACACCACUAAGAAGAAGCAGAUUGUCCUGAGUGAUUUAUUGAAGAACAAAAGUGAGGGAAAGAAAGAGAAGAGAAUUAUCAGAGACUCACACAUACUUCCCUUUCCUCCUGUCUGGCCUAAGGAGAACAACCAGUGACCACCGUGUUCCCUCCCUCCCCAACGGAAAGGCCUCAGAACACUGACAUUUUGCUUUUUCAGAGACACGUCUUCAUGGGCCACAUCAGAUCCCAAAAAUCCAUUUAGACUCACUGGAAGAAAGCAGGCGGCGGCAGGGUCAGGGGGAGAGAGCUCUCCUCUUCCCUUCUGACUCACUUCACUCACUCCCCACUGCCCGCUCCAUGACAUGCACCUACAUUUCAUACAGAUAUUUUCCAAAUGAACAGAAACCUAACCAAGGCUGGAAUUUGGCUUUAGAGAAGCCAGAAGAACAGGUCAGAAAGUGCCCAAACCUUCAUCCUUUCCUAUCAAGAAGGAGAGGACUUCCCUGCCAGAGUUCCAAGGCAGGGUCAUGAGAUUCCUCAUUCAAAGUCUCGUCAGGGUGGUCAUCUGCUCUGCUCGUUGCCUAGUACUCAAGAGAGAUACAUACUCCAGGGCCAGGUGGUGCCACGCAGAUGACAAAAUAACAAGUGAUUGGGCUAAUUAGCCUAUUUACAAUCAUAAAAUUGUGAAAGAACCUUUUGCAAAACUACAGAUGUUUUUAGUGUUCAGAAAGUCUGAAAAAGAACACAGAAUUGGGAUAGGAUUUGGGUCCUACCAGAUGUUCACAGAGGGAAAGUCCUGCUAAAUGGAAAAUUCCAAAUGUGGCCAGUUAGAAACUCUGUGGGCUGAAAGCCCCUCUACAAUCCUGGAUAGUUCCUAGUGACAUCACUUGAGGUCUCCAAGCCUGAGCAAAGGACAGGAUCUGAGCCUAGAUGCCCUAAGAUGGGAUGGGGCACCCUGGAAAGAACAAGGAGUGGAACUGUUCAGAAGUUCACCAGAGACUUAUGUCAGCACCUUGACUGAGGCCAGGUGUAUGAUAUCCCAGACAAAGAAGGGAGGUAUAGAAUAGAAGAAAAGCAAUAGAAAAUGUCCUAGACAUUUACCAAACUGUCUACAAGAAGAGCAGCCUCCUCUUUCGUGGGCAUCUUGCCCCCUAACUCUGAUUUUGCAGUUCUAGCACAAAAAAAAAUCAUAGUUACCCAUCCUUCUGCCAGAGAAAAGGGCUCAUGAACUGAACUGGACAGUUUCCCCCUCCCUCUGAUUGGCCCAAGGAUUGGCAUGAGACUGAACAGGGAAACUAGGAUUUUCCCCAACAGGAAAAAAAAAAAAAAGCAUUUUAUGCUCUGAUCACAUGAACCAAUAAACACCCAGCCCUCCUUUCUUCUUAAGCUGGUCCCAGUGAUAAUUCUACCACGUACAACCAGUGGAUUUGUGACUAAUAAAGGAAAUAUGUGGAAUUCUC